rnacentral:rRNA from 1 species
UACGGAGGAUCCAAGCGUUAUCCGGAUUUAUUGGGUUUAAAGGGUGCGUAGGCGGCCUAUUAAGUCAGGGGUGAAAGACGGUAGCUUAACUAUCGCAGUGCCUUUGAUACUGAUGGGCUUGAAUACACUAGAGGUAGGCGGAAUGUGACAAGUAGCGGUGAAAUGCAUAGAUAUGUCACAGAACACCAAUUGCGAAGGCAGCUGGCUACAGGGAUAUUGACACUGAGGCACGAAAGCGUGGGGAUCAAACAGG